rnacentral:lncRNA from 1 species
GUCCCCGCCGCAUCUCCCCUGUCCAGCUGGGCGGGGACUGCUGUACGACUCUGUAAAGUCUGUGAGUCACUGCACAACCCAUCAAUCCAAUUAAAUGUCUUGAGCGAGCUGAGCAGGCGGUGCUGCCGCCCGCUGCCGCUCGCCCCGCCGCGGCAGCCCCUGCUCGUAGCGCCCCUCUGAUCCAUGGCUGUCUGUCUGUACUUGUUACGGUGUAACAUCUUCCUCCUCCUCCUUCUCCUCCUUCUCCUCCUCCUCCUAGGGAGCCGCUGCAACUUCCCCUCAGCCAGCCUCCUCCUCUGCUUGGGGACUGCAAAGGCAUGGGAUAGACCCAAAGCCACUUCUCUCUGUCUCCCCACCAGCCCUUGCUCAGUUUUGCUCCUUUAAAUUAAAGUCCGUUCCUCGCUCCUCAUCGUUUUAGAGAUUUAUUUGUCAGACUAUUAUUUCCCCUGGUUUUUCUUUUUCCUCGGCGGGGGCAAGGGUCGUAGGGGCCGGUGGGUUUAUGUUAGGGAGGGGCGCUCCCUCACCCCACCCCCUCGGUUUUUCCUCCUCCCUUUUCGACCGUGACUUGAUUUCCCUGCUCCUUUCCGUUCCCACCCGUCGAACUCACCGUCCUGCACUCGAGUGACGCACCGACACCCCCCCCCCCAGCCCACAGCCCAGACGUCCCCUCCCUCGCUGCCACCCCGACCCGUCUCGGAGCUGGACCGGGUGCAGACUUUGCAAAAGGGUGAGUACCAUGUAGGUUUUCUUUGGUGGGGGUGGGGGAUGUGAGAUCCAAACGCGGUAGCCGGUCCGCUCUUGGGGAGGGCAGGGAUCAGGUUGUGGGCUGGAGAUUCCUGGUCCGGCGUGGAUUUGAGGUGGCGACUCCCUCCCUCCCUUGCUCCCUCUUCCCCCGCCCCUCGACUCCUUAUUCACCAGCCUUGCUGUAUUUCUAGGUAUUGCCAGACUUCCACCAUCGGGGCAUUAUAACGCUUAUACAAUAAUUGGUGAUGGCAUGCUUUCUGUCUUUUGGAUGCCUAGUGAGCAGUAAUAGCGAUGUGAUCCGAUAGACUCUGUGACCUGCAAAAAGUGUAAAAUGGCUAAUGGGUACAUUUUCCUGUAAAUCAAAGUUAACUUUUGUUCAGUAAAGGCAAAGCAGAAGGUAUUAUUCAUUUGAAUGUGUG